AUUGAACGCUGGCGGCAUGCCUUACACAUGCAAGUCGAACGGUAACAGGUUAAGCUGACGAGUGGCGAACGGGUGAGUAAUGUAUCGGAACGUGCCCAGUCGUGGGGGAUAACUGCUCGAAAGAGCAGCUAAUACCGCAUACGACCUGAGGGUGAAAGCGGGGGAUCGCAAGACCUCGCGCGAUUGGAGCGGCCGAUAUCAGAUUAGGUAGUUGGUGAGGUAAAGGCUCACCAAGCCGACGAUCUGUAGCUGGUCUGAGAGGACGACCAGCCACACUGGGACUGAGACACGGCCCAGACUCCUACGGGAGGCAGCAGUGGGGAAUUUUGGACAAUGGGCGCAAGCCUGAUCCAGCCAUGCCGCGUGCGGGAAGAAGGCCUUCGGGUUGUAAACCGCUUUUGUCAGGGAAGAGAAGGUUCUGGCUAAUACCUGGGACUCAUGACGGUACCUGAAGAAUAAGCACCGGCUAACUACGUGCCAGCCGCCGCGGUAA
rnacentral:rRNA from 1 species